GACGAACGCUGGCGGCGUGCUUAACACAUGCAAGUCGAGCGGUAAGGCCUUUCGGGGUACACGAGCGGCGAACGGGUGAGUAACACGUGGGCGAUCUGCCCUGCACUUCGGGAUAAGCCUGGGAAACUGGGUCUAAUACCGGAUAUGACCUCCUAUCGCAUGGUGGGUGGUGGAAAGAUUUAUCGGUGCAGGAUGGGCCCGCGGCCUAUCAGCUUGUUGGUGGGGUAAUGGCCUACCAAGGCGACGACGGGUAGCCGACCUGAGAGGGUGACCGGCCACACUGGGACUGAGACACGGCCCAGACUCCUACGGGAGGCAGCAGUGGGGAAUAUUGCACAAUGGGCGAAAGCCUGAUGCAGCGACGCCGCGUGAGGGAUGACGGCCUUCGGGUUGUAAACCUCUUUCAGCAGGGACGAAGCGCAAGUGGCGGUACCUGCAGAAGAAGCACCGGCUAACUACGUG
rnacentral:rRNA from 1 species